UGGAUGAGUGGCGAACGGGUGAGUAACACGUGAGUAACCUGCCCUCUUCUUUGGGAUAACGCCCGGAAACGGGUGCUAAUACUGGAUAUUCACUGAUCUUCGCAUGGGGGUUGGUGGAAAGGUUUUUUCUGGUGGGGGAUGGGCUCGCGGCCUAUCAGCUUGUUGGUGGGGUGAUGGCCUACCAAGGCUUUGACGGGUAGCCGGCCUGGGAGGGUGACCGGUCACAUUGGGACUGAGAUACGGCCCAG
rnacentral:rRNA from 1 species